CCUACGGGAGGCUGCAGUGGGGAAUAUUGGACAAUGGGGGGAACCCCGAUCCAGCCAUGCCGCGUGUGUGAAGAAGGCCCUCGGGUUGUAAAGCACUUUCAGUGAGGAAGAACGCCUGGUGGUUAAUACCCAUCAGGAAAGACAUCACUCACAGAAGAAGCACCGGCUAACUCCGUGCCAGCAGCCGCGGUAAUACGGAGGGUGCGAGCGUUAAUCGGAAUUACUGGGCGUAAAGCGCGCGUAGGUGGCUUGAUAAGCCGGUUGUGAAAGCCCCGGGCUCAACCUGGGAACGGCAUCCGGAACUGUCAAGCUAGAGUGCAGGAGAGGAAGGUAGAAUUCCCGGUGUAGCGGUGAAAUGCGUAGAGAUCGGGAGGAAUACCAGUGGCGAAGGCGGCCUUCUGGACUGACACUGACACUGAGGUGCGAAAGCGUGGGUAGCAAACAGGAUUAGAUACCCGAGUAGUC
rnacentral:rRNA from 1 species